GCCUUAAAAGCUUAGCGUCAAGCGGUAGUCUUGUAAACUACAGACCGGGGGUUUAAAUCCCCCUUAAGGCC
rnacentral:tRNA from 1 species